rnacentral:lncRNA from 1 species
UUUUAUGAUAGUCGACUUCUCUUCGCACAAGAGAGCAUCGAUCAAUCCUUACUGGAUGAGUAUGUCCUUCACCCUUACCUGCCACAAAGAGAAAUUAUUCUUUUCAUCAAAUCUGUUGAUCUCUAUCUUGAUUAAAUCUGUCUUCUCCAUCUUCAAUCUUACUCACCAUCACUGCAAUCUACAUUCUAGUACCAUCUGGCUCUGAUACCACUUAUUGAGAAUG